GAUGAACGCUGGCGGCGUGCCUAAUACAUGCAAGUCGAGCGAACAGACGAGGAGCUUGCUCCUCUGACGUUAUCGGCGGACGGGUGAGUAACACGUGGAUAACCUACCUAUAAGACUUGGAUAACUUCGGGAAACCGGAGCUAAUACCGGAUAAUAUAUUGAACCGCAUGGUUCAAUAGUGAAAGACGGUUUUGCUGUCACUUAUAGAUGGAUCCGCGCCGCAUUAGCUAGUUGGUAAGGUAACGGCUUACCAAGGCAACGAUGCGUAGCCGACCUGAGAGGGUGAUCGGCCACACUGGAACUGAGACACGGUCCAGACUCCUACGGGAGGCAGCAGUAGGGAAGCUUCCGCAAUGGGCGAAAGCCUGACGGAGCAACGCCGCGUGAGUGAAGAAGGUCUUCGGAUCGUAAAACUCUGUUAUUAGGGAAGAACAAAUGUGUAAGUAACUAUGCACGUCUUGACGGUACCUAAUCAGAAAGCCACGGCUAACUACGUG
rnacentral:rRNA from 1 species